rnacentral:rRNA from 1 species
UGCGGUUAAACAAAUAAUGAUACUAUUUUUAUUUGGUUUUUAAUUUUUAGUUAAUAAGAAUUAAUUUUUAUUUAAUUUAAUAUUGGGUGAAAUCCUAUUUUUUUUUAAUUAAAUUUUUGAUUAUGAGGUUAAGAAAUCUAGAUUUUAAACUGGGAUUAGAUACCCCAUUAUUCUAGAUGUUGAUGAUUAAACCUGAUAAAUAUUAGUUAUGUUCUUUAAAAUCAAAAAAUUUGGCGGUUUUUUAUUCCAAUCAGGGGAAUCUGUCCUGUAAUCGAUAAUCCACGAUUAAUAAAACUUUUAUUUUGCUUGUAUAUCGUUGUUGUUAAUUAUUUUUGGAAAUAUAUAAUUAGAAUAUAAAACUAUAUAAGAUAUCAGAUCAAGGUGCAGCUUAUAGAAGUAGAGAUGGAUUACAAUAAAUUUAUUUAAGGAUAAAUUUUAGCAUUAUUAUUUAGAAUUUGGAUUUGAAUGUAAUUUUAUUUAUUAAUUGAAAUGAAUUAGGCUCUAGAAUGUGU